UCUGUAACGCCUUACGGUCAGAUGCCGAGCAGUUGCCAUACCAGGCAGUGAUGCAACCUCAGGCAGCUCUCUAUGGUGCAGCUGAAGAUCCUUUCGAGGAUCUGGGGGCCCAUGCCAAAUCUUUUCAGUCUCAUGAGGGGGGAAAUGUUUUGUUGUGCCUUCUUCACAACUGUCUUGGUAUGUUUGGGCCAUUCUAGUUUUUUGGUGAUGUGGAACUUGAAACUCUCGACCCACUCCACUACAGCCCUGUCGAUGGUAAUGGGGGCCUGUUCGGCCUGCCUUUUCCUGUAGUCCACGAUCAGUCCUUAGUCUUGCUUACAUUGAGGGAGAGGUUGUUGUCCUGGCACCAUACUGUCUGUCUUUGUAUGUCUCAAUAUAAUAGUAUUAUUUAAAAUAAUCUUUGUCUGAAAAUAAAAUAUGAUCCUCAACUACGUUUCCCCUCCAGUCAGCAGACGCGAUGUGCGUCUUUCAGGCGAUGCUGCCAGCGUGACGUAUAGUCUAGUGGACGGUUCUUCAGAAACAGCUCGUCAAGCACCUCCGUAGCUUGCUAGCGAACAUAGUCGAAAGAUUCAAGCUAUUUAUACGCUUUCGUUGUAUAUUAGCUACUGUGUUUUAUACACACUUCUAUCGUAUCUACUCGUUAACCCAUUUAAUUUAAUAUGACGUUAUUUUGUAUUAGUCAGAUAUAGUAGCUGGCUGGUUAAGUUAGCACUAGCCUAGUCGCUAAUGAUAGCUAGCUAGCUAACAUCCCAGAACAUGAGCUCCCUAAACUACUCUCCUGCUAAAGAAGAGGAGGUCUGCUGGACGGAGAAAGAAGCUCUGGGGCUGAACAUUGUCGUGAAAGAGGAGAAGGAAGAGGAGGAUGUCACAGUAAAACAAGUAGAGGGUGAGGCUGUUAGAGUGAAAGAAGAGGAUGUCGUUUUUGGUGUGAAAAAGAGGUUGGAGAUCUGUUUAACACCAGAGAGAGACGUGACUAUAGUGGAUCCUCUGGGGAGCUUCAACAACAUCAUGAUGCUGACGAGGCAGAGAAGAGUCUCCAGAUCAGGACACCUCAAGAAACCCCAGCAGAGACCCACAGGGAAGAAAUCUCACCACUGCUCUGACUGUGGGAAAUGUUGCAAAUAUUCAUCAGAUCUUAAAAUACACCAUUGAGUACACAGAGAGAAACCUCACCACUGUUUUGAUUGUGGGAAGAGUUACUUAAGAUCAAAUUCACUAAAAGUACACCUGAGAAUUCACACUGGAGAGAAACCGUAUAGCUGUGAUCAAUGUGGGAAGAGUUUUACUCAGUCAAGCAACCUGGUAUCACACCAGAGAAAAUACUCAGGAGAGAAACCUUAUAGCUGUGAUCAAUGUGGGAAGAGUUUUACUACAUCUAGCCAUCUGAUUGUACACCAGAGAACACACACAGGGGAGAAAUCUUAAAGCUGUGAUCAAUGUGACAAAAGAUAAUCUGAUUAAAGAUCUCUGACUAAACAUCAGAAAAUACAUGGAGUUGUUUCAUGAUAUCAAUGAAUUAAUGUCACAAUGUAGAAUGUUUUAAUAUUGUAGUAGGAGUAUUUUAAUGAUGUCACAAUGUGGAAUGUUUUAACAUUGUACAGCCGUGGCCAAAAGUUUUGAGAAUGACACAAAUAUACAUUUUCACACAGUCUGCUGCCUCAGUUUGUAUGAUGGCAAUUUGCAUACACUCCAGAAUGUUAUGAAGAGUGAUCAGAUGAAUUGAAAUUAAUCGCAAUUAUUAUUAUUAUUAUUAUUAAUUAGUCCCUCUUUUCCAUGCAAAUUAACUGAAUCCCCCAAAAAACAUUUCCAUUGCAUUUCAGCCCUGCGACAAAAGGACCAGCUGACAUCAUGUCAGUGAUUCUCUCGUUAACACAGGUGUGAGUGUUGAGGAGGACAAGGCUGGAGAUCACUCUGUCAUGCUGAUUGAGUUUGAAUAACAGACUGGAAACUUCAAAAGGAGGGAGGUGCUUGGAAUCAUUGUUCCACAGAGUCUAUAAAAGGCAAAGAUCAUUUAAUAAUAGAAGUGAUGUCACAACAAUAUGAAUAUGAGAAAUCCUGAUAACAAUGCAGAUAUCUCACCUGAAGUUGUUGUUUCUUCUUGUAAUCCUGAUAAUAAUGCAGAUAUCUCACCUCUAGUUGUUGUUUCUUCUUGUAAUCCUGAUAAUAAUGCAGAUAUCUCACCUCUAGUUGUUGUUUCUUCUUGUAAUCCUGAUAAUAAUGCAGAUAUCUC
ensembl:lncRNA